rnacentral:lncRNA from 1 species
UUUUUUUUUUUUUUUUUUUUUUUUUUUGCUGUCACAUCUCUUCCUUAGAGGGAUGGGGGUCCUUAGUUUUCCAGCAGUGGGAUGCUGUGAUUCCAUUUAUCCUUGCCCCAAGCGCACUUUCCAUGGGGCAUGUCUUUGCUGAUUUUCCACUCGGUGAGAAACAGUCGAGACUUUCAAACUGCGUGGUUUUGAAGGCAUGCUGGGUUAAGAAUGUUUUCCUGUAACCCCUCGUGUUAGGUCCAAUCCAUGGAUAGGUUCCCUCCUCUGAUUCAGCACCAACAAUUUUACCAUUUGAUACAGGUUAAAACGUCGUGUUAUACAGUGCUCCUUUUACAACGGGAGGCAGAAAAGGAGCUUAGGAAAAGAAAAGCAGUUGACCAAUUGGGAAGAACGGGAUGCACCUCCUUUCUUGAAAUUUGUGUUCAAAACCCCUUUGCAGUUUCUUGAAGGUAGAGUUGAUUGCUGUCAAUGCAUUGCAGCCCCUUGUCAUCAUGCUCUGAUGGGAAAAGUCCUGCUUUUUGUGUAAGGUAGCUACAGUUUCUGUUAACUGGGAAUUUCCAUGUGAAGAGACACGGCAUCAGUGAGAUGCGACAUCAGUGAGACGCAGAUCGUUUUGUCAACCUCGGCCCACGUAGCCAGUCCUGAUCACUUACAGGGACUUGAGAACUAUUGGUAGGUGUUGUCCAGGUUUCCAUUGCUUUCCACCACCGGAGACUCCACAUCUAAUUUGUAGCCCCUAGCCGGACCUAGCCUGACUCGUUAGUUAUGCAUGGGGGUUAACAUUCAUCUUCUUUUAGCCCGGGACCCACCUGCAGAAAAGAGUUAUGGGUUUUUGUCAUUUAUAGUUGAGUUCAACUGGACCGGAUUUCCUUACCGCCUCUGGCUGAAACUGACUUGAGAGAAUGACAGUUUUGCUUGGAGGGGAGGAGGAGACAUCCGUAAAUCUGGGAAUGUAAAAGUGAUUUGCAGAGGACAGCCCCAGUCUGCUCCUUUCCAUCCUGUCUCCAGCCCCCCAAGGUAGGAACCCUGUCCCUAGAGAGAGGGAGAGAGUGUGUGUACACCGAGAGGAAGCUGACCCCCUUGGAUACACAACCUUGUCGGGUGCCCCGCGAGAAAGAUGUAGGCCUGGAAAAUGAAGGAUGUGGGGGAGCCGCCCUUGCCUGACUUCUUCCUGGCAUCCCACAUAGGGUGUCCGUUCUUGCGUAUCUCCUGGGAGACAGGGCUGGGCUCCUGACUUGCCUGAGCAAGGAAUUCAGGAAUGGACAUUCAAGCCACCCUCUGCCCCCAGCUCCUCCCACAUACAUCUCUCUUGACCACCCCGACUUUCUAGGUGCAAUACAGAGAGCUAGCCAGUAAGGUCCAUCUUCCACCAGCCUCUGACUUUCCACCUUUCAAGGAGACACAUAUAUUGCCCAUGAAGUCAUGUGUCUGUUUGGCCCUUCCUCUGAGGCUGGUCUUGUCUGAUGGUCUCCCCGGGGGCUUGACCCGGUUUUUUUUGCCCCCGCCCCCGAUGACCUGGGAUUUUCCCCUUUCUUCCCCCACGACCAUGGACAAUUUGGUGCCUGUGUUCUGAGCCCUUGAUAUUUCUGCUUUUGACUGGAGUCUAUUCUGGUAGACUGGGCACUGCAAAAUGAGUCAGUUCCUGCAGUUUGGUUACAAGUUCUCAAAAAGUAUUUCAGAAUGUGGAUGUGGUCAGCAGAGUCAUUUUCCAGGCAUCUAAAAGGAAACCCACAUCAACUGUAACAAUCGAGCUGCGAACCGAUGGCCCUGUACCUGCCCUCACAUCUGAAAGGAAAAUUCUCCUUUGCGCUUGCAAAUCACAUGUGAGCUGUCUCUGUUGGCACAAACAGCGUGAUAGAGGUUCUGGCCUUUGUCCCUAUUUUUUGAACGUGUGCGCUAGUUGGACACACAUAAAACUGACUUUUGUGGGCUGGAAUCUUACAGGAUUCAAACACAAUUAGUACAAAGUGUGAAAUGUGGGUUAGAGACAGAAACCUGGAGAGUUUCAGCUAAUGCCUGGAGGAAGAACUAAGGUGUUUUAGAUUCUAGCAGAGUUCAUGGAACUAUAAUUGUUUACUAGCAAAGUUCUGAACCUAUGUAGAAUUAGCAGCGAUACUGAUAAAGAAAAUUCAGUUCUUUUCAAGCUUUCAGAGAAUUUCAAGUUUGACGUAACAUCGAGAGAAUAGUUCCAUUCAGCCUAGGCUUCAGGAAAUAACCAUCGUGAAGUUUUUAUCCUCUGGGGUAGCUGUGAAUGAAGCAAAAUGUUGACUGAGUGCUUAGUUGCCAGUCUUGCACCACCCAAUACAGUGGAUGGAGUUUUCAAUAAUAAGAAAGAAAACAACAUGGGAAAAAAUGGGCAAAUGGUUUGAACAAACACUUCACUAAAGCAGGUACCCAAAUGACAAAUAUGCCCUGGAAAAGAUGUUCCGUGUCAUUAGCCAGUAGGAAAAUGCAAAUCCAAAGGACAGUGAGCUACCACUACGCACCUAUUUGAAUGGCUGCAAUGAACAAGCCUGACCAUACCGAGUCUUGGGUAAGUUUUCAGAGGAUCUAGAACCCUCAUGAUACAGGUAGAUAGAAAUGUCAACUGGUACCAACAUCUUGGAAGAUAGUUUGGCAGUUUCUGAAAGUGUUAAACUCACACCUGCCCUUUGAUCCAGAUCCACGCCUAGAAAAAGAAAGCACAUGUGCGUAUGAAGCCUUGUACAUCAAUGUUUACAGCAGCUUUAGAAGUAAUAGCUAAAAAUUGGAAGCAACCCCAAUGUCCACCUCAGGUGAAUGGAUCAACAGAUUGUGGUGUAUCCAUAGGAUGGAUUAUACUCAAUAAUGACAAGGAGUGAGUUAUUGAUAUAGCCAACAACACAGAUGGCCCCGCGUGAAGUGAAAAAAAAAGCCAGGACCCCCCCCCCCCAAAGUGCAUACUGUAUGGUUCCAUUUAUAGAAAAUUCUAGAAAAUGCAAAUAAAUCUCUUAUGACAGAAAGCAGAUCAGUGGUUGCUUGGAGUGGGGAGGUAAGGGGGCGCAAAUGGGAGUGAUUACAAAAGGACGUGAGGAAACUUUGGGGCUGGUGGAUAAUUUCACUAUCUUGGCGGUGGUGAUGGUUUCAGGGGUGUGUAUGUAUGCCAGAAUUUAUCAAGUGGCAGCUUUAAAUAUGUGCAGUUUAUUGUGUGUUAGUUCUUCCUC